rnacentral:rRNA from 1 species
UGAAGCGGCAAAAGCUCAAAUUUGAAACCCUCGGGAUUGUAAUUUGAAGAUUUGGCAUUGGAGAAAGCUAACCCAAGUUGCUUGGAAUAGUACGUCAUAGAGGGUGACAACCCCGUCUGGCUAACCGUUCUCCAUGUAUUGCCUUAUCAAAGAGUCGAGUUGUUUGGGAAUGCAGCUCAAAGUGGGUGGUAAACUCCAUCUAAAGCUAAAUACUGGUGAGAGACCGAUAGCGAACAAGUACUGUGAAGGAAAGGUGAAAAGAACUUUGAAAAGAGAGUGAAAUAGUAUGUGAAAUUGUUGAUAGGGAAGGAAAUGAGUGGAGAGUGGCCGAGGUUUCAGCCGCCCCUCGUGGGCGGUGUACUGCCGACGCCGAGUCAUCGAUAGCGAGACGAGGGUUACAAAUGGGAGCGCCUUUCGGGCGUUCUCCCCUAACCCUCCACACUGCCACCGACGACAUAAUCCACCCAUUUCACCCGUCUUG